GGGGCCAUGGUCAAGCGGGAAGACGCGUCCCUCGCACGGACGAAUCGGCGGUUCGAAUCCGCCUGGCUCCACCA
rnacentral:tRNA from 1 species